rnacentral:rRNA from 1 species
AUUGAACGCUGGCGGCAGGCCUAACACAUGCAAGUCGAACGGUAACAGGAAACAGCUUGCUGUUUCGCUGACGAGUGGCGGACGGGUGAGUAAUGUCUGGGAAACUGCCUGAUGGAGGGGGAUAACUACUGGAAACGGUAGCUAAUACCGCAUAACGUCGCAAGACCAAAGAGGGGGACCCUCGGGCCUCUUGCCAUCGGAUGUGCCCAGAUGGGAUUAGCUUGUUGGUGGGGUAACGGCUCACCAAGGCGACGAUCCCUAGCUGGUCUGAGAGGAUGACGAGCCACACUGGAACUGAGACACGGUCCAGACUCCUACGGGAGGCAGCAGUGGGGAAUAUUGCACAAUGGGCGCAAGCCUGAUGCAGCCAUGCCGCGUGUAUGAAGAAGGCCUUCGGGUUGUAAAGUACUUUCAGCGGGGAGGAAGGGAGUAAAGUUAAUACCUGUGCUCAUUGACGUUACCCGCAGAAGAAGCACCGGCUAACUACGUG